rnacentral:rRNA from 1 species
GACGAACNCUGGCGGCGUGCUUAACACAUGCAAGUCGAGCGGUAAGGCCCUUUCGGGGGUACACGAGCGGCGAACGGGUGAGUAACACGUGGGUGACCUGCCCUCAGCUCUGGGAUAAGCCUGGGAAACCGGGUCUAAUACUGGAUAUGACUCCAUGACGCAUGUUGUGGGGUGGAAAGCCUUGUGCGGCUGAGGAUGGGCCCGCGGCCUAUCAGCUUGUUGGUGGGGUGAGGGCCUACCAAGGCGACGACGGGUAGCCGGCUUGAGAGGGCGACCGGCCACACUGGGACUGAGACACGGCCCAGACUCCUACGGGAGGCAGCAGUGGGGAAUCUUGCGCAAUGGGCGAAAGCCUGACGCAGCGACGCCGCGUGAGGGAUGACGGCCUGG